GACACUACUAGAGACUUCAUGCAACCAUGCUAGAGCCACACACGCAAAAAGUUUAACAGAGAUCAAAGCCAAAUUUUGCCACUGCAACCUCUAUUUUAUUCAUUUUGCGAACAUCACCUUUUAUAAAACUCACAAUUUCCAAAAGCUCAAUCAACAGAAAUUAAUUCAUUUAAUUUAUUUUGAUCUAAAAGGAAUGAAGCUAAUGUUUUAUUAGGAAACCAAAAUUCUAGCCAUUUUACCACCAAUAAUCCUAAUAUCACAUAAACCUUAGGUCUUGUCCCAGAAAACCCAGUCACUUCAGUCCCUUCUUCUUUGAGUAUUCAUAUUUAAAAACAAUUAAGAAAUAAAAUGUAUUGUAAGCUAAAGAAGGCUUUAUUUCAGGAUAAAUCAAAGUAAAGAAAUUACAUAAUUUCAGAGCAGAUUCCAAAAAGUGUUGCUCAAAAAUUCAAUGAAAAUUCAAUAUUUAGUCAACUAAGUCUAAUAGACCACCUCCUCAUAUAAUUAAAAUACCAAAGACCAGCAGCUAACAGCAAAAUCUGUGAAGCAAAAACUGAUAUAACUAAAAGGAGAAACAUACAAAUCCAGAGUUAGAGUUUGAAUUUUCAAUACCCCUCUCUCAACAAUUAAUAGAACCAGAGAAAAAAUUAUCAAGAGAGUAACUCAACAGUACCAUCAACCAAGAAGAUCUAAUCCAAAUUGACACAAUACUCCAUCCAGUGACAGCUGAAAAUAUUUUCUUUUCAAGUUCCCAUAGAACAUGCCAAAAAUAACCUAUAUCCUGGGCCAAAAAACAAACCUCAACAAAUUUAAAUUAGCUGAAAGUAUGUAGGGUUUCUCUGACCACAAUGAAAUCAAACUAGAAAUCAAUAACAGAAAAUUCUCCAUUACUUGGAAAGUAAACAACACACUUCUAGAUAAUCCAUGGGCCAAAGUGGAAGUCUUAAGAAUAAAAAAAAUACAUUGAUUGAACUGAAAAUGAAAAUAGCAUGUAUCAAAAUUGGCAGGACACAGCUAAAGCAGUACUGAGAAGAAAAUUUAUAUUAUUAAAAAACGGACAUUAGAAAAUAGGAAAAGUUUCAAAUUAAUAAUCUGUUUCUACUUCAACAACCAAAAAUUAAAAUAAAUAAAUAAACCCUAAGCAAGCAGAAGGGAGGAAGUAAUAAAGAGAAGAAAUAAAUGAAAUUGAAAAUAGAAACACAGUAUAGAAAAUGAAACAUUGCUGGUCCCGUGAAAAUAUCAAUAAAACAGAUGAACUUCUAGCAAGACAAAGGAACAUUGGAAAACACAAAUUACCAACAGCAGGAAUGAAACAGGGGAUAUUAUUAUAGAUUUUGCAGACGUCAAAUGGAAAUUAAGAGGCUACUACAAGUGACUCUAUACAAUAUAGUUAACAACUUAGAUGAAAUAGACCAAUUCCUCAAGAAACAUAAAUUACCACAAUUCACCCAAGAUGAAAUAUAAUUUUAGUAGCCCUAUAACUCUUAAGGAAAUUAAAUUCGUAAUUCUAAAAACUUUCCCAAAAAGAAAUCUACAUAACCACAUGAUGUCACUGGAGAAUGUCACUAAAUGUUUAAAGAAGAAUUAACAUCAAUUCUACAGAAUCUUUUCCACAGAAGAGAAGAAAAUGGAACAUUCUUCAGCACAUUUUGAGAUAUAUCACCCUGAUACCAAAAUCAGAAAAAGAUAGUAUAUAAAACAAACAAAAACCGAAAGAUCAAUCUCAGUCAUGUAAUAUAGGUGUAAAUAUCCUUAACAAAAUGUCAGCAAAUAAAAUCCAAAACAAAUCUGACUAGUAUCCAUGAGGAUGCAGGUUCAAUCUCUGGCUUCACUCAGUGGGUUAGGGAUCCAUCAUUGUUGUGAGCUGCGGUGUUGGUCACAGGAGUGGCUCGUAUCUGGCAUUGCUAUGGCUGUGGCAUAGCCCAGAAGCUACAGCUCCAAUUCAGCCCCUAGCCUGGGAACCUCCAUAUGCUAUAGGUGUGGAGGUUAAAAAGACAAAAAAAUAAAAGUAAAAAUAAAAUAAAAUAUGGCACAAAUGAACCUAUCUACAAAACAGAAACAGACUCACAGACAUAGAGAACAGACUUGUGGUUGCCAAGGGAUAGAGUGGAAGGAGUUUGGGAAUUUGGGACUAGUAGAUGCAAACUAUUAUAUUUAGAAUGGAUAAGCAAUGAGGGCCUACUGUAUAGCACAGGAAGCUAUAUCUAGUCUCCUGGGAUAGAUCAUGAUGGACAAUAAUAUAAGUAAAGGAAUGUAUAUAUGUGUAUGUGUGUGUUAGAGAGACUGGGUCACUUUGCUAUACAGCAGAAAUUGGCACAACAUGGUAAACCAAUUAUAUUUUGAUAAAAAAUAAAAUAGUAUGAUACACCAUAUCAACAGAUUAAAGAAGAAAAAUCACAUGAUCAGAUCAUUAGCAGCAGAAAAAGCUUUUGACAAAAUCCAGCACCCAUUCAUGAUUUUAAAAUGGUAGAAAAAUAGAAGUACAGAGCAGUUCCCCCAGGAUAAUAAGAGAAUCUACAGAAAAUCCUACAGCUAUCAUUAAUGGUGAAGGACCGAAUGCCUUCCUUCUAAAACAGGAAGUAAGUCAAGACUGUAUAUUCUCACUAUUUGCCCUCCACAUAAUGCUGGAAAUUCUGACCAGGACAAUAAUGCAAGAUGAGGAAAUCAAAGGCAUAUAGAUUGGACAUUAAGAAGUAAAACUGCCCCUAUUUGCAGAUGACAUGAUUGCUUAUGCAGAAAAUUUCAAGGAACCUUAAAAAAAAAAUCUGUAAUAAGUAUGUUCAGCAAGAUCACAGCAUGCAAGUGCAACACAUACACACACAAUUAUACUUACGCAUACGAAUAACGGACAUGUGAAAACCAAAAUUUAAGACAACACCACUUCCAGUCCCUCCAAGAAACUAAAUGAUGUAACUUGAACGAAACACUUAUAUGAUUUGCCUGCUGAAAACCAUACAAUGUUGAUGAAAGAAAUCAAAGAUCUAAAUAAAUGGAGAGAUACACUGUGCUCAUGAGUUGGAAGAUUUGAGUAGUACAGAUGUCAACUCCCCUCAAACUCAUACACAGAGUCAAUGCAAUUCUUUUCAAAAUCCCUACAAACAAGAUAUGAGUGAAAUUAUUCUAGUAUUUAUACAGAAAGGCAAAGGAACCAAGGUAUCAAAAAACAAUCUUGAAAGGUAAGAAAGUAGGAGGAUUUUGUCUGAUUUCAAGACAGAGUUACAAUAAUCAAACAUGUGUGGUAUUGGCAGAGCUACAUCACAUAGAUAAAUCAAACAUAAUAGAGGAAAUAGACCCAUACAAAUAGGCCCAACUGACUUUUGGCAAAGAUGCAAAACCAAUUCAGUGGAGAAAGAUAAGCUUUUUGACAAAUGGUGCUGGAGCAAUUGGACAUCAUAGACUAAAACAAAACAAAAAACACAAUACUCUGGCCUAUAUACCUCAUAUCUAUAUAGAAUUAACUCAAAAUAGAUCAGAGACUUUGUAAAGUGUAAAACUGUAAAACUUUUAGAAAAAAAAAAUCUGUAAGAGCUAGGACUAGGCUUAGUUGGGGUAUCAAAAGCACAAUCCAUAAAAGGAAAAACUUGAUAAAUUGCACUUUAUCAAAAUUUAAAACUUUUGCUCUCUGGAAGAUUCUGUUAGGAGAAUGAAAAGACGACCUACACACUGGGACAGAAUAUUUUCAAACCACACAUAUUCAACAAAGGGCUAACAUUUAGAAUACACAAAGAACUUUUUUUUUUUUUUUUUAAUGGCCAUACUCACAACACAUGGAAGUUCCCAGGCCAGGGAAUGAAUCCCAGUCACAGCUGAGACCUAUGCUGCAGCUGCAGCAAUGCCAGAUCCUUUAACCUACUGUGCAGGCUGGGAUCGAACUCAUGCCUCCACAGUGACCCAACCCACAGCACCACAGUGGGAAUUCCUAUAAAGAACUCUUAAAACUCAAUAAUAAAAAAACCAACCCAACUAGAAAAUGGGCAAAAGAUUAAGAGAACACACACAAGACAAAUAAGCACAUGAAAGAGGUUUAAUAUCAUUAGCCUUCAGAGAAAUGCAAAUUAAGACCAUAAUGAGAUAUCGGUACAUACCUAUCCAAAUUUGUAAAUUAAAAAACAGUGAUAAUACCAAAUACUUGUGAGGAUGGAGGAAAAUGGAUCAUUAUGCAUUGUUGGUUGGGAUGUAAAACGAUACAGCUACUCUGGAAAAAUUUUGACAGUUUACUAAAAAAAUAAACAUGCAACUACAAUACAACAUAGCAGUUGUACUCUUGAGCAUUUUUCUCAGUAAAGUGAAAACCUAUGUUUAUACAAAAAUCUGUAAAUAAAUGUUUGUAGGCGCUUCAUUCAUAAUAGCCAAAAACUGGAAAUUGAGAUGUCCUUUGAUAGGUGAACAGUUAACGAAACUGUGGUCCAUCCAUACAAAAAAAAAUAUAUUCAGGAAAAAAAGGAAAUCUACUAUUACAACACACGCCAACCUAGAUGAAUCUCCAGAGAAUUAUGCUGAGUGAAAAAAUGUCGAUCCCAAAAGGUCAAAUAUAGUAUGAUUUUAUUGAUGUAACACUCCUAAAAUGAUAACACUAUAGAAAUGGAGAACAAUUUAGUGGUUGUAAAGGGUUAAGUACAGGGAUGGAAAUAACUUGAGGCUAUAGUAGAAGAACAUGAGGGAUCUUUGAGACAGUAGAAAUGUUGUCUUAAUUAUCCAAGUCAAUAUCCUAGUUGUGGUAUCUUUUUAACAGAAGUGUUGCCAGAGGCUACCGUUGAGAAAAACUGGGUAAAGGGUAUAAGGGAUCUCUCUGUAUUAACUCCUACAAAUGCACAUGAAUCUACAUUUAUGUCAAAAAGUCUAAUUUAAAAAUCACAUAGGAAGAAAACACGGAUGAGUAUUUAAAUAACUGCAGGAUGGGGCUGAAAUUUUAAUCAUUAAAAAAAUUAAUGGAGGAGUUUCCCACUGUGGCACAAUGGGAUCAGUGGUAUCUUGGGACACAGGUUCAGUUCCUGGCCCGGCACAGUGGGUUAGGGAUCCAGUAUCGCCAUAGCUACAGCUUAGGUUGCAACUGUGGUUCAGACCUGAUCCCUGGCCUGGGAACUCCAUAUGCCUAGGGGCAGCCAAAAAUGAAACAAAACAAAACAAAACAAACUAAUGGAUAAAAUUAUAAAUGGAAAGAUUGAUAGAUCUGGUUAUAAAAUCUUUCAAAACUUUUGAAGGUCAAAAACCAUAAUGUUUUCCAUAGUGAAUCUAAAAAAUACAACAAACUAAUGAAUAUAACAAAAAAGAAGCAAACUCACAGAUACAAAGAACAAACUACUAGUUACCAGUCGGGAUGGGAGGAGGGGAAACUUGGGGGUUGGGAGUGGAAGGUAUAAGCCACUGGGUGUAAGACAGACUCAAGGAUGUACUGUACAACAUGAAGAAUAUAGCCAAUAUUUUGCAGUAACUGUAAGUGAAGUGUAACCUUUAAAAACUGUAUGAAAAAAUUUUAAACUACCUUAAAUCAUUCAAUGGAGUAUUAUGUUGCCAUAAAAAAGAACAAGGAAGCUCUUUAUGGACUGAUGGAAAAUAAACUCCAAAAACUAGGGGGAAGAAAGGUUUUGGGAGAGUUUAAAUACUAUUUUAUCAUUUGUAUAAAAAGGAAUAUAGAAAUUUAUAAACACAUAGUAUGUAGAAAAACAUCUAGAUAUUGGUAAAAAUGAGUGAUUUCGGGAGGUGACAAGAGGGCAAGUCUGGAGAGGAGACACUUCCCUGAACACCCUUCAGUAUUGUCAGAUCUUGAACCAUGCAAACGUAUUACUGUCCAAAAAAGAAAUGACUUCUUAAAAAACAAUAUCAAAAAGUACCGAGUUUUAUCUUUAAAACUAAAGUUUUAAAAACAAAGAACACUAGCAACAAAUCUAAUACAGGACAUCAUAAUGACCUUCAUAUAUAAAUAUAUAAAGUAUAUUUAUAAAUAUUCUGUUUGCCAUGAAUAAAAGUGUGCAAAGUGCAUAAAUGUGAUUUUCAGAAGUUGAAAUACAAAUAAACAUGCAAAGCAACAUUUAUCCUGAUUAGGGAUCAAAGGUAGGUGAAUGAAAGGGAAGCCAAUUUGCCUAUGGAGUAGGCAACAGAUUUGUAAAACAGUAUUUGAUGCUGGCAAGGAUGAAUAAACAGAGCUCUACACUGCCACAGAAAUGAGAUGGGACCACUUAUAAGAAGACUUUGGAAGCAACGGAAAUGACCAGAGAGAGAAAUGUUGAAAGAAGGAUGGCAUAUCCUUAAUCUGGAAUGUGAGAGAGCCAUUUAUGGUGACUUCGAAAAAUGGCAUUGGCUACAAGUAAAAUAUGAGCAUGUAAAACUACAUAUCCAAAUUUUGCCACCUAAAAUUUUAUAGCUGUCUAGUUUUGAAUUUCUUGAUUACAGAAAAGCAAUAAAAAAGAAUUAAAACCUGGUGUUUAAUUGGCCCCUCUUUGCUGGGGCUCCAAAAGGUUGGAUUGAAAUGUAAGAGGUUCUUGUUACCCUUUGGUUUUCCUCUCCACUCCUGAAAGUUCCCUUGUUAAAGGUAGGUCUUUUCUUGCCCUGUUCUCUCAGUGGCAGCUGACGUUCAAAUUCAAUUAGCUUCAAAGAAUCCCCUAACACAGCUCAGCUUCUUGGAUCCAGAAUCCUCUCCUUGCCCAUUGAGCUUGUCAGUCAGUCCAUGGGGUGGGGGAGGACCCCAAGGGGACAGAUCUUGAAGUUCAAAGGAAGAGCAAAAAGCCAAUUUAUCAUCCAAGCAUUGCUUCCAUUUUGGCUCCCAUGUCUGCCUCAAUGGAAAGUGGCAAGUGGUGCUGAUUACCUCCUUGUCACUCUGCCUGCUGGAGGCCCUUGUCUGCCAACCUUGCUGCAAGCUUGGCACUCCAUCCUUGUGCAAAUGCUCUGCUUGAAAAUGCCUAGCCCUCUCUCCUUCCCUCUCUCUCCACAUCACUCUUGAAACCUUCUUGAUUGCUUUUUUUGUUUGGGAAUCCAAGGUGUCGCUCAACAAAAUGAGAAACCGCCAGUGACUGGGCGAUCACAAAAGCUUCCAGGAUCAUCUGCUGCCACGGGGUGAGGGGGGGUCACUGCUGGCAGUAGGGGGUGGGGGGACCAGAGGAAAGAGGAGAAAAUGAAGGCUUUGGAAGUUUCUCUAAAAUCUUUGAAAAUUACCUUACGUUCCAAAUUUCCCCAAGAUAAUCUAUCUCUGUGCCUUAACUAGAGCACACUUCUUACCUUUCAACCUCAGACCUGCCUAUGAGCACUUCUGAAGGAUGAGUGAGUGUAAGAAUUGGGGGUAGGGGAGCAGUGAUGUAACAGCCAUCUGUUUGGGUAGGCAGGAGAAAAAGCCACCACUUCACUUCCACAGUGAGUGCCAGUUUGGGCCUGAUCAGCACGCUUUCUUCUGCUGGCAGAACCCACAUUUUCUACUUAGGCAAACAACUUGACCUGAGUCCACCUCCACUGGGCAUGUGGACCCUGUCCUCGUUAAGGCUGGGACCUCACUUCCUUGGCCAGAAUGAUUCGGUGCUUUCUUGAUGAUGUGAAGCAGACAAAAGACCAGCAUGUCUAAAGCUUCCUCCCCAGGACUCUGGGGAAAAGACAGUUUAGGCAGACUAGUAGGCUAGCAGAGUAGAAGUCUGCUGCUGGUGGUGGCUAUACUUGCUGCCACCUGGGAAAAGAGCCUGACCGGAUUGUGCCUGAUAGAAGGCAGCCUCCUAUAGACAUCUGGGAUCCUUGGAUUCAGCCAUAUGUACACUAUUUUAUUCUGUUUGGAGGUGGGGGUUGCACCCAUGGCAUGCAAAAAGUUUCCAGGUCUGGGGUCAAACCAGAUCCAAGCCACAGCAGUAACAAUGCCAGAUCCUUAACCCACUUCCACGGGGGAACUCCUGAACAUCUAUUUUAAAUCUGACUCAGAAUGAGAUUUCUCUUCCAAUACAAAGAGCUCUGACUCAGAGUUCCCACUGUGGCUCAGAAGGUUAAGAAACCUGACACAGUCUCCAUGAGGAUGAGGGUUCAAUUCCUGGCCUUGAUCAGCAGGUUAAGGAUCUGGCAUUGCCAUGAGCUGUGGUGUAGAUUAGACAUUGCUAGGAUUCUGAGUUGCUGUGGCUGUGGUGUAGGCCAGGAGCUGCAACUCCAAUUCAAUCCCUAGCCUGGGAAUUUUCAUAUGCUGCAGGUGUGUCCAUAAUGAAAAAAAAAAAAA
rnacentral:lncRNA from 1 species